rfam:Treponema succinifaciens DSM 2489, complete genome.
GGAGCGAUGUCUGAGUGGUCGAAAGUACCUGUCUUGAAAACAGGCGUGCCGAAAGGUACCGGGGGUUCGAAUCCCUCUCGCUCCG